AUGCCCUCAGUGGAGAAUAACAGAAACACUCCUAGGCUGGCUUGUCUGCCUGCUGUAGCACUCCAGCCCAUGGCCACCUCUGUUUUGAAUUCCGUGACUGUGUCACUCUCAGUCUGCGGAGGCGCACAACAGAAUCUUCCACAUAAACAGUUCCUGAGCAUUGACCACAAUAGCCCUUUCGGUGGUCCUGGUGGCAGCCGUCCAGCCAGUUCUGCUGUCGUCUUUCUCGUGUGUUCCCAGCUGACACUACGGUAUGAAUUUAUGGGUUGUUUAGUUUGUUUUGGACACGAGUUUAUAGCAACAGAAGCACAAGCUUAUUCUUAAGUAUGAAUGGGGGUGGAUUUUCCAACCUAUCUUGACAUUUCAAGAUAGAUUUUAAUAAGUUACAUGUGUAAACAGUAAAAACCACUGUCCAUUUGUGAUGACCUGGGAUAAUUCACAAUGCAGGCUUGAAGGGAGGAUAGAGUUUCCUUUCCCUCUCUCUCUCCCUCUCUCUCUCCUUCUCUCUCUCUCUCCCUCUCCCUCUCCCCCUGUCCUUCUCUCUCUCUGCACUUCCACAAGGUGGAACAUCUUUCAGCAUGAGGUGGUUUCUCUGCCCUCCACUCCCUCCUCCCCUGGGGAAGAGCCGUCCCGCCAGGAACUAGUUAGGGACUAGUCUCUGCUAGGACUUUGAGGACACGGAAUUAGACUUCCAUACUGCUGCUUCUUCCCUCCUUCUCUUCCCUUCUGGAAGGCAGCCUGCUGGGUGGGAGUACUGUCCUAGGUCUGACCCCCUGGGAUCUAAGUCCACACGUGAUACAGGGGUGGGGGGCCUUGAGAAAAAGGCAUGGGUUCGAAUUGGGGGAACCACAUCAACGGGAAGUUCCUGAAGCUCCCAGCAGGGGUUGGGCACCAAGCUUCUGGCCUUGGGUUGGCCACAGGGCAUUGCUAGGGUUGAAAAUUUCCCUUGACUGAGUCAUUCCAGUUUGGGCCCUAUUGGAAACAGACAAGAAAAUGUUUGCAUGGUGAUCGGUAAUAUCUCAGGCAAAACCCGUCUCAGGAAAGACACUGGCUAAACAUACUUGUGGGUGACUGAGCGAAAGAUGGGCCUUGGGGUGUAGGGAGAGGUGGCUUGACCUUGAAUUACACGGCCCUGGACCCUUCCUGCUACAGCACAGCCUGAAGUUGUCUAAGGCUUCAUAAAAGAGGAGAGGACUUGUCCUAGGAAAAUACAUGAUGUUCACUUUCCUAUUCAUGGUUUUCAGAUACUGUGGGGGCAGGAAGUGGCAAUCACCUGCCUUUAAAAAAAAAAAUAAGGUGUUUUAUAGGCAGAGUUUCGUGGAUU
rnacentral:lncRNA from 1 species